AUUUAUGUGAAUCUAUGUCUGUAUAUGUUACAUCUAUGAUGACAAUGGGCUUGUUAUUGAUGUUGUCGUAUGGCAUGACAGAGAAGUGUGGAGGGUGGCUCUUAACACACAUAGUCUUGAGGAUAAACUCAGUAUUUGAAGCAACAGACGUGUGUUCUUAAGGUAUAAAGUGCAAGUUCCAUUGUCCUAAAAGCGGUUGAAAAGGAAACAACAAAGUUCAAUGGAACAACAAUAAAAGAAUUUGAGGGAUUAUUAUUUUGGUUCUAUUAGGUCUGAAGAGUUAAUGCACAUUUCUGAUCAAAAGCAUUAUUUAAAGAAUGAUGACAUGGUUGAUGAUAUGAAUGAGGAUAUGUUGUGUCAGGAAUGAAAAUGCAGAAGUUGGGGAGGAAAUAGGUGACUUAAUUACAAGCUUGAUGAUCAGUUGUUGGAGUCGGGUUAAAACAAAUGAAAAGCCAGACAACGCGUAGCCAACUCAGCCACCUACGAAGACACAUGUAUUAGAUUUUCAUGUGCACGAGGUUAAGCACUUGGUGAUGGUCGGGGCCAUGAUGUUCUUAUGCGAGCUCGGUUCAGACCACUUGAAAGCAUUUGCACCGUGGCUAAAUCAGUAUGGUGGCAAGUGUGUGCUUGGCUCAAGUUGCUAGUACAUUCUCAGUUUGAGUUUGUAGAUAAGAUUUUGUAGUUCAGAUUUUGAUGUUUUGUUGUGAAUUGGAGAUGUCCCUGAAAAAGAAAAAGGUAAUUCAUGUAGUUUUCAUGAUGGCGAUGUGGUGGUUGUGGUCAAGGAGGAAUGACAAGGUUUAUAAAGGGUGGAAUACGAAUGAUAUGAAGAUUGUUCAAGACAUCAUGGAGUCAACGCUCUGGUAGGUGCUUAAUAGAUCGAGAAUUGUGGUUGUUAACGCAACGAACUGGUCCUUCUUCAAUAUAGAUGAGUUUGGUUAGGGUGUUUGGCUAGAUUCGGGGGGCUGCUGGCUUAUGUUCUCAUGGGUGUCAUUAAUUUAUGUUUUUGCUCUUGCUAUAUUGAGCUGGCUAGCAACUUGGUAGGCCAUGUCUGGUUGUUUUGGGGUGAUUAAUAAAGAAGCCUUG